UCCCGUGUGGCUCAGUUGGUAGAGCAUGGUGUUUGCAACACCAGGGUUGUGGGUUUGAUUCCCACACGGGAC
rnacentral:tRNA from 1 species